UUGGCUCAGGAUGAACGCUGGCGGCAGGCUUAACACAUGCAAGUCGAGGGGUAACGCGAGGUAGCAAUACUUUGGCGACGACCGGCGCACGGGUGCGUAACGCGUAUGCAACCUACCUGUAACAGGGGUAUAACGGGGUGAAAAUCCCACUAAUCCCCCAUAUUGUUAAAGAAUCGCAUGUUUCUUUAACGAAAGCUUCGGUGGUUACGGAUGGGCAUGCGUGACAUUAGCUAGUUGGUAAGGUAACGGCUUACCAAGGCGACKAUGUCUAGGGGAGCUGAGAGGCUUAUCCCCCACACUGGUACUGAGACACGGACCAGACUCCUACGGGAGGCAGCAGUGGGGAAUA
rnacentral:rRNA from 1 species